rnacentral:tRNA from 1 species
GCUCGUGUAGCUCAGUUGGUAGAGCGCCGCCAUGGUAAGGCGGAGGCCGACGGUUCGAUCCCGUCCGCGAGCU